GAGCGGUAGUUCAGUUGGUUAGAAUACCGGCCUGUCACGCCGGGGGUCGCGGGGU
rnacentral:tRNA from 17 species